AUACUGAUCACUGUUAUAAUAAUUACUAUGGCUAUAUUGAGAAGACAUGCCCAGGUUAUUACGAUGGGUAUUAUGAUUCUUAUUGCUGUGGAUACUCUGGCAACUACUACUGUUGCGAUUAUGAUGAGUAUUUUGGUACAAGCUCAUCAUCAGAUGACUAUGUUGAUAUACCCGAUGCUAUUAGCACUGCGAUCAUUGUGGUCAUUGUAAUCAGCGUCCUCAUCCUGCUUGGUAUUGUUGGUGGCAUUAUAGCAUGUUGUGUGUGUGGCGGCUGCUGCUGCGCGCAAGAAACCACGACCACUAGCCCAGUGACUACAUUCGUAGCCACACAACAAACUCAGCCUGCUCCGGCAGUUGUUCAACAGUCACACUUCACUCCGCCGGUCUCCAAUCCCCUACAACAGCAGGAAUACCCUCACCCUAAUGGCGCACAUCCACCACCUUCGGGCGUAGCAUAUCCACCUCUUGCUCAAGAACCAAAAUUACCAAAUUACGUUCUUUGAGUCAAUAGCAUAAUAUUAAAGGAAUGAUCCACUGCUAACAAUCAUACGAGCUUGAUAACCCUUAUCCCCGGUAUUCUUAAAACGAACUUUAGAAGUGUAGUUAGAUCUUCGACUACGUUGUUUAUG